rnacentral:tRNA from 1 species
CGCGGGGUGGAGCAGCCCGGUAGCUCGUCAGGCUCAUAACCUGAAGGUCGUAGGUUCAAAUCCUACCCCCGCAACC